UCUAUAGAUAUACCUAGCAAGAUGCCGCUGGACUAUUUACCUAUGAAACGUAAGUUCUUCGGACAUUACAGCCUUGACUUUGGAGCCGGAGCAAUCAUUGUUACAGCUGUGUUAUAUGUUAUUGAAGCUGGAAUGGAAUACAGCUAUCACUAUUGUGGAAACUUUUUCACCCUAUGGGCCGAAGGCAGCAAUGAAAAUGUUGUAUUGCCUUAUAUAUUUUUGAUAUUUUUGGAAGUUCACGCCUUAAUCCUUUUGAUAACUGGCUUAGGAUUUGCAUGUGGGCUCUGUGUGGGGUCCAUUGAAUGUGCUCCAUUCUUUGUGGUGGCGCUAAUAACGGCACCUUUUAUAAUAACCCUCUAUUACGUAGGGAUGUUGUGUAUAAUUCUCGCUGGUAAACUUGAAUGCCCCUAUAUAACACCUAUUUACGGUGUCCAUCUAGUAUUAAUGAUCCUUGCUGCCAUAUUCUUUUUACACGCUGGUUGUUGUAUUAAUUCAUAUAAACCUGGAGCCCGCCCACCUACUUAUGCUUUGCAUAAAUGUUCAAAGAAAAAGAUUACUACUUGUUAAUUUAUAGUGAAUCUUUUUACACGCUGGUUGUUGUACUAAUUCAUAUAAACCUGGAGCCCGCCCACCUACUUAUGCUUUGCAUAAAUGUUCAAAGAAAAAGAUUACUACUUGUUAAUUUAUAGUGAACGAAGUUAUGUAAUGACGUGAACAUCCUAAUGUAGGAGACCCAGGACCACUGUUUCGAUGCACAUUGGUU